CAAUAGCGUAUAUUAAAGUUGUUGCAGUUAAAAAGCUCGUAGUUGAAUUUUUGCUUGCCGCCGAUGUCGGAACUUCCGUACGUUCGGCGGCGUGCAUCCUUGGGUGGAACCUGUGUGGCAUUAGGUUGUCGUGCAGGGGAUGCUCAUCGUUUACUGUGAAAAAAUUAGAGUGUUCAAAGCAGGCUUACGCCGUUGAAUAUAUUAGCAUGGAAUAAUAAGAUAGGACCUUGGUACUAUUUUGUUGGUUUGCGCACCGAGGUAAUGAUUAACAGGGACAGUUGGGGGUAUUCGUAUUCCAUCGUCAGAGGUGAAAUUCUUGGAUUUCUGGAAGACGAACUACUGCGAAAGCAUUUACCAAGGAUGUUUUCAUUAA
rnacentral:rRNA from 1 species